rnacentral:piRNA from 1 species
UUCUUGUGCAAACCUCGGGGUGG